AGCUUGCUUUUUUGGUGGCGAGUGGCGGACGGGUGGGGAUUCAUUGGGAAUCUUCCUUUUGGUGGGGGAUAACGUAGGGAAACUUCCGCUAAUACGGCAUACGACCUUCGGGUGAAAGCAGGGGACCUUCGGGCUUUGCGCGAUUGGAGGAGCCGAUGUCGGAUUAGUUAGUUGGCGGGGUAAAGGCCCACCAAGCCGACGAUCCGUAGCUGUUCUGAGAGAAUGAUCACCCACACUGGAAGUGAGACACGGUCCAGACUCCUCCGGGAGGCAGCAGUGGGGAAUAUUGGACAAGGGGCGCAAGCUUGAUCCAGCCAUACCGCGUGGGUGAAGAAGGCCUUCGGGUUGUAAAGCCCUUUUGUUGGGAAAGAAAAGCGGUCGCCUAUUACCCGGUUGUUCUGCCGUGUACCCAAAGAAUAAGCACCGGCUAACUUCGUGCCAGCAGCCGCGUUAAUAGGAGGGGUGCAAGCGUUACUCGGAAUUACUGGGCGUAAAGCGUGCGUAGGUGGUUGUUUAAGUCUGUUGUGAAAGCCCUGGGCUCAACCUGGGAAUUGCAUUGGAUACUGGGUUAAA
rnacentral:rRNA from 1 species